rnacentral:tRNA from 1 species
GGAGAGGUGUCCGAGUGGUUGAUGGUGCCGCUCUCGAAAAGCGGUCCCCGAUUAUAUCGGGGCGUGGGUUCGAAUCCCACCCUCUCCG